AGAGAAACCCUUAUCUUCUUCUUCUAUCUCCCACUAUUAAUCUCCGACAUUCAAGAGCUUGAGAUGCUGAAGUCGACGUGAAGAAUCUCUUCGUUGGGUUUCUUUCUGAUUUCGAUACUUUCAUGUGAAGCUUUAGUCGACAAGCCAUAAAAACUCUUUUAGUUCAUGCCCACAUACAAAGUAUGGUUGACUGGGUAUAAAGCAUAACCUCUUUCCCUCAAUUCAGUCCAGUGACCAAUGUAGUCAAUCAAUUCAUCCCACCUUUUUCCUCAUCAAUCAAGAUUUCUCACCUCCCCUCAUCAACCAGAGCUACUGCAUAUAUAUGGUGUCAAGGUGCUCAAGAUAAUUCAUGAAGUUUCUUCAAACAGAGAAAGUCGUUUUAAGGGAAACAGAGGAGUCAGGAGAGAAUUGACGGCGUCGUCUUCAUUUCAUCCGCCUGCGGUGGCAAAACCCAGAUCGUUAAUUACCGUUAAAUCCCUGAUUGGAUUUUGAACCUGCACCAGCACCGUGCAUGUGCAUUAGCUUCACCGACAUGCACAUGCUUAAUGUUUUUCGUGGUCAAGGCCGGUAGAUUAAUUCAGCUUAGAAGAGAAGUAUUGAAUAUUAUCAUAGAGUCGUAGUUCAUGAGAUUUUGCUGCCACGAAGAAUAUAGAGUUCUCACAUGUAAGACGCCAACGAAAACUAUAACAUCACUGAGGAAGCUAGAGAGCUUGAAAAGCAACUCAGACAACCCACUAAGGAGAAGAAUGAAGCUGUGCGAGGCCAAGAAUUUGAGAAGGCUGAAAGUAUGACCAGAACUAGAACUUAGUGACGAGAUAGCUGUUGUUUUAGUCAAAGGCAAAGAAGUGAGCAAAGCUGAGACUGAAGCUGGAAAAGCAGGACCUACUGUCACUGAAUCCGACAUCCAACACAUCAUCUCCACCUAGACAGGAAUACUGGUAGAGAAAGUUUUGUAUGAUAAAUCUAGCUGUCUUCCCAAUAUUGCGUAGAGCCUUCACACGAGUUAUUGGCCAAGACAGCUGUUAAAGCUAUUAUAUGGGUGAUCCAACGUGCAUGUGUUGGGCUCAAGAAUCCGAACCGCCCAAUCACAAGUUUCAAAAGUGUUGUAUGUACUUUAUAUUGUGUGUAGUGAUUCUUUCAUGCUGCUUGAUCCUACAUCUAAAACAUCACAUUGUGUUGUGUUUCAAUGCAAAUAGAUUUGUAAACUAUGCAUUUUUAAAAUGUACUUAUCAUUUAUCAUAACUUUUUUUUGGUG